AAGUCGUAACAAGGUCUCCGUAGGUGAACCUGCGGAGGGAUCAUUCUCAGAGCGAGCGGGCCCCGCCCCUCACUCCAUCCCGUGCGAAAACACCCAGCUCCCGCCUCGGCCGAGCGGUCGUCCCCCCUCGCGGGGGCACGAUCCCGGCCGCUGGCCCAACCAAAACCACUCUGAACCUUUGCAGUCAGUGAAAACAUACCGAAACGUAAGAAAAACUUUCAACAAUGGAUCUCUUGGCUCCGGCAUCGAUGAAGAACGCAGCGAAAUGCGAUAAGUAAUGUGAAUUGCAGAACCCAGCGAACCAUCGAGUCUUUGAACGCACAUUGCGCCCCCUGGCAUUCCGGGGGGCACGCCUGUCCGAGCGCCGUUUUACCACCUCGAGCCCAGCUCUGCGUUGGACCCCGCCCCGGCUCGACCCGGGGCGCCGUCCGGAAUGCAUAGGCGCCCGAUCGCGGGGACCCCAGCACAGCGGAAACACUCGCUGGGGGACCCGCGGCUCGCGGCCGCCGACGAACCCACCACACGUAACGAUUGGCCUCGGAUCAGGCGGGGAUACCCGCUGAACUUAA
rnacentral:rRNA from 1 species